AGGAGAUAGCUUCUCUAUUUUGUUUUCCUGUAUUAGACACAUGCACUUUCUUUAUUUCCCAGUAACUUAGAUGGUCAAUGAUGUCCUUGAUUUGUUUUCUCUAAAUUAGGGUGGAGGACCUUACUAUCUCAUUGGUCGUGCUUUGGGUAUUAGAUAGAAUGUAAAUGAAGAUAAAGGAGCUAGCUUCUCUAUUUUGCUUUCCUGUAUUAGACACAUGCACUUUCUUUAUUUCCCAGUGACUUAGAUGGUCAAUAAUUUCCUUGAUUUGUUCUCUCUAAAUUAGGGUGGAGGACCUUACUAUCUCAUUGGUCGUGCUUUGGGUCCAGAAGUUGGUGUUAGCAUUGGGCUGUGUUUUUUUCUGGGAAAUGCAGUUGCUGGAGCAAUGUGAGUAUACAACCUGACCUUUUAUACUAUGACUUACUCACUUGGC
rnacentral:lncRNA from 1 species